UACGUAGGGGGCAAGCGUUGUCCGGAUUUAUUGGGCGUAAAGAGCGUGUAGGCGGCCAGGUAGGUCUGCUGUGAAAACUCGAGGCUUAACCUCGAGAUGUCGGCGGAAACCAUCUGGCUAGAGUCCGGAAGAGGAGAGCGGAAUUCCUGGUGUAGCGGUGAAAUGCGCAGAUAUACAGGAGGAACCACCCGUGGCGAAGGCGGCGUCUCUGGGACGGUACUGACGCUGAGACGCGAAAGCG
rnacentral:rRNA from 1 species